rnacentral:rRNA from 1 species
AACGAACGCUGGCGGCAUGCCUAAUACAUGCAAGUCGAACGAGAUCUUCGGAUCUAGUGGCGCACGGGUGCGUAACGCGUGGGAAUCUGCCCUUGGGUUCGGAAUAACGUCGGGAAACUGACGCUAAUACCGGAUGAUGACGUAAGUCCAAAGAUUUAUCGCCCAAAGAUGAGCCCGCGUAGGAUUAGCUAGUUGGUGAGGUAAAGGCUCACCAAGGCUACGAUCCUUAGCUGGUCUGAGAGGAUGAUCAGCCACACUGGGACUGAGACACGGCCCAGACUCCUACGGGAGGCAGCAGUAGGGAAUAUUGGACAAUGGGGGCAACCCUGAUCCAGCAAUGCCGCGUGAGCGAUGAAGGCCUUAGGGUUGUAAAGCUCUUUUACCCGGGAUGAUAAUGACAGUACCGGGAGAAUAAGCCCCGGCUAACUCCGUGCCAGCAGCCGCAGUAAAAC